rnacentral:rRNA from 1 species
CCUACGGGAGGCAGCAGUGGGGAAUAUUGCGCAAUGGGCGAAAGCCUGACGCAGCGACGCCGCGUGAGGGAUGAAGGUCUUCGGAUCGUAAACCUCUGUCAGCAGGGAAGAACGGUCACUGUGCUAAUCAGCAGUGAAUUGACGGUACCUGCAAAGGAAGCACCGGCUAACUCCGUGCCAGCAGCCGCGGUAAUACGGAGGGUGCGAGCGUUAAUCGGAAUUACUGGGCGUAAAGCGAUCGUAGGCGGUAUGUCAAGUCAAGGGUGAAAUCCCCGCGCUCAACGUGGGAACUGCCUUUGAAACUGGCAGACUGGAGUGUGUGAGAGGAUAGUGGAAUUCGAGGUGUAGGAGUGAAAUCCGUAGAUAUCUGGAGGAACAUCAGUGGCGAAGGCGACUAUCUGGCACAUAACUGACGCUGAGGAGCGAAAGCGUGGGUAGCAAACAGGAUUAGAUACCCCAGUAGUC